CUACGGGGUGCAGCAGUGGGGAAUAUUGGACAAUGGGGGAAACCCUGAUCCAGCAAUGCCGCGUGUGUGAAGAAGGCCUGCGGGUUGUAAAGCACUUUCGGUUGGGAGGACUGCUUCUAGCACUAAUAUUGUUGGAAGUUGACGUUACCUUCAGAAGAAGCACCGGCUAACUCCGUGCCAGCAGCCGCGGUAAUACGGAGGGUGCAGGCGUUAAUCGGAAUUACUGGGCGUAAAGCGCGCGUAGGCGGCUAGAUCAGUCGGGUGUGAAAGCCCCGGGAUUAACCGGGGAACUGCAUCCGAUACUGUCUAGCUUGAGUACAGGAGAGGAGAGUGGAAUUCCACAUGUAGCGGUGAAAUGCGUAGAUAUGUGGAGGAACACCAAUGGCGAAGGCAGCUCUCUGGCCUGAUACUGACGCUGAGGUGCGAAAGCGUGGGGAGCAAACAGGAUUAGAUACCCGCGUAGUC
rnacentral:rRNA from 1 species